rnacentral:tRNA from 1 species
GGUAUGAUGGCUGAGUUUAAGCGGUAGAUUGUAAAUCUAUAAACGGAGAUUAUCUUCUCUUGCC